GUGCUCUCUUCGGCAGCACAUAUACUAAAAUUGGAACAACACAGAGAAGAUUAGCACAGCCCUUGCACAAAGAUGGCACGCAAAUUCGCGAAGUGUUCCACAUUAAA